rnacentral:rRNA from 1 species
CAGUAGCCGCGGUAAUACGUAGGUGGCAAGCGUUGUCCGGAAUUAUUGGGCGUAAAGGGCUCGCAGGCGGUUUAAUAAGUCUGAUGUGAAAGCCCACGGCUCAACCGUGGAGGGUCAUUGGAAACUGUUAAACUUGAGUGCAGGAGGGAAAAGUGGAAUUCCUAGUGUAGCGGUGAAAUGCGUAGAGAUUAGGAGGAACACCAGUGGCGAAGGCGGCUUUUUGGCCUGUAACUGACACUGGGGCGCGAAAGCGUGGGGAGCAAACAGGGUUAGAUACCCCCGUAGUCCCUGUCUCUUAUAC